UACAGAGGGGGCAAGCGUUAUUCGGAAUUAUUGGGCGUAAAGGGCGCGUAGGCGGCCUGGCAAGUGGAUGGUGAAAUCCCUCGGCUUAACCGAGGAACUGCCUUCCAGACUGCUUGGCUUGAGACCGGGAGAGGUGAGUGGAAUUCCCAGUGUAGCGGUGAAAUGCGUAGAUAUUGGGAGGAACACCAGUGGCGAAGGCGGCUCACUGGACCGGUACUGACGCUGAGGCGCGAAAGCGUGGGGAGCAAACGGG
rnacentral:rRNA from 1 species